GGGCUCAAAUGUAUGUUGACGUAUUCUGAAAGGGAUACUUCUUCGGACAAUAUACAAGGUGCUGCAUGGUUGUCGUCAGCUCGUGCCGUGAGGUGUCGGGUUAAGUCCCAUAACGAGCGCAACCCCUAUCAUUAGUUGCCAUCAGGUCAAGCUGGAGACUCUAAUGAAACUGCCUACGCAAGUAGUGAGGAAGGUGGGGAUGACGUCAAAUCAGCACGGCCCUUACGUCCAGGGCUACACACGUGCUACAAUGGCCGGUACAAAGGGCAGCUACCUGGUGACAGGAUGCAAAUCUCCAAAGUCGGUCUCAGUUCGGAUCGGAGUCUGCAACCCGACUCCGUGAAGUUGGAUUCGCUAGUAAUCGCGCAUCAGCCAUGGCGCGGUGAAUACGUUCCCGGGCCUU
rnacentral:rRNA from 1 species